GGCACUAUCUGCCUACACCAAUCAUCAAUCCUACUUAGCGCCGAGGACGCCGUUUCCAAAUAUUAUCACCACCAGCCCUCACUCCGCUGCAGCCGACACUCACCAACAUCCAUUUUUAAAAAUCCAUUUACGCUGAGCCUUUCAUCCAAACCCAUCAACAACCAUUUCCCUGCAACCGUGGUUUGGACUGCCCGAAACGUCCAGCCAAGCAAGGGCUGAGUCCUGCCAACAGGGAAGGGAGACUGCAGACUGCGGUGCUGGGCAGGGCAGGGCCGCUCCUCCCGCCGCACGCCAAAGCUUUCCGCCUCUCCCGAGUGAUUUAAGAGGGUUCGGGACCCAGAUAAGACCCCGCCCUUGCAGCCACGACCCCGGAACGGGAGGAGGAGAGAGGCGGCCUCAGCCCUGCAGAGCCAAGCCUUUGGAAAAACAGGCAGCUCCUCCCCAGCGGCGGCCCAGGCUGGGCGAGCGGCGCGUCGGAGCCGGUGCGCGCCCAGCGGCUCCCAGGACAUUGUAUCUUUGUAAAUGUGGGUUUUCAUCAAUUGAUGCGACAAGAAGCAAAUAACUCCUGUAAGUCAAGGUGGAACAGAAAAUGAGAGUUGAUGUCCGAUGUCCCAUGUGAUUGCAAGGUCUGAGAAGAUGCACAGAUACCAUUAAAUUUUGUUUGUUUAUAGAAAAAUAGAUCCGGUUAUAUAAUGUGGAAUCCUUUUCCUCCUGAAACCCCGCUAAAGAAAUAGCAGGGGAAUUAUAAGAAGUUAAAAUCCACAAGGACACAAAGAACAGAAAAAGGAGGGAAUGGGAGAUGAGCGACAAAAGUCUGGAAGAUGAACAGCACGUAAUUCAUGACUGCGGAGAAAAGAGGAAGUGGAAACAUGAAUCUUCAAAAAGAGACCAGCGGACUCAACCACAGGACCUUGGAACGGCUCAGGAUUCAUUGGUACCACGUCCUUCCAAAGAUGAGGAAACCAAGCCGUUCGUCCGAGCUCUCACAGCCAACAAGAGAAAGGAUCCAAACCAUGCCAUGUGUGGUUCUGAGGAGGCAAAUAUUAUCCUGCCCAUUUUACAGAUGAGAAAACUGAGGUCUCAAGACUGAAGUGACUUGCCUGGCUCACGCAGGAAGUGGCUUAGCCAGAAUUCCAGCCCAGGUUUGUCUGACCUCCAAGUCCAUGCUCUUGACAUCACCUGCUCCCACCUCCCCCUCUGGGAGUUGUGGGCCUUGGUUUACAAAGGAUGAGAGAGAAGAAACCAGAGAAGGCGCUGAGCAGAGGUAGAGGCCCCUUCCAAAACCCCAUGCCUAAUUUUGUUUUUUGUAAUUGUGUUUUCUCUACCUUUUUUAUCUUUAGUUUAUUUAUUUAUUUUGAGAGAGAUAGAGAGAGAGACAGAGAGGACAGCGAGCAGGGGAG